rnacentral:sRNA from 1 species
CCGCUAGGUACUUACGACUUACCACGCG